rnacentral:rRNA from 1 species
GACGAACGCUGGCGGCGUGCUUAACACAUGCAAGUCGAACGGUAAGGCCCUUCGGGGUACACGAGUGGCGAACGGGUGAGUAACACGUGGGUGAUCUGCCCUGCACUUCGGGAUAAGCCUGGGAAACUGGGUCUAAUACCGGAUAGGACCAUGGACUUCACGGUUUGUGGUGGAAAGCUUUUGCGGUGUGGGAUGGGCCCGCGGCCUAUCAGCUUGUUGGUGGGGUAAUGGCCUACCAAGGCGACGACGGGUGGCCGGCCUGAGAGGGUGUCCGGCCACACUGGGACUGAGAUACGGCCCAGACUCCUACGGGAGGCAGCAGUGGGGAAUAUUGCACAAUGGGCGCAAGCCUGAUGCAGCGACGCCGCGUGAGGGAUGACGGGCCCUUCGGGUUGUAACCUCUUUCAAUAGGACGAAGCGCAAGUGACGGUACCGUAUAGAAGAAGCACCGGCCAACUACGUGCCAGCAGCCGCGGUAAU